UACGUAGGGUGCAAGCGUUGUCCGGAAUUUAUUUGGGCGGUAAAGAGCUCGUAGGCGGCUUGUCACGUUCACUGUGAAAACCCGGGGCUCAACUCCGGGCCUGCAGUCGAUACGGGCUGGCUUGAGUGCGGUAGGGGGAGACUGGAAUUCCUGGUGUAGCGGUGAAAUGCGCAGAUAUCAGGAGGAACACCGAUGGCGAAGGCAGGUCUCUGGGCAGUAACUGACGCUGAGGAGCGAAAGCGUGGGGAGCGGAACAGG
rnacentral:rRNA from 1 species